CUGGUGGGCCGGGGCUACCAAAACGCCGCCUGCGGUUGCUAGAGGCAACGGGAGGCGGGAUGGGGCGCGAGACUUCGGGUUGCGAGGUCCAAGUUUCCUUGCAGGUUAUCUGACUCUGAAGUUCCAUCUCAGCAAGGAGCGAGGUAGCACUUACAGGCACGUCGUAACCCGUCCAGCAGACGACCGAGCAUGUCUGCUUCACCCCCCCCCCCCUCCGUAAUCCUCUGCGAGUGCCAUUCAGAUCCAGCCCAGGAAGCAAUAUCUCAAGGCAGUCCGCAUCUCAGCCUCGCCCCUGGGAGCGCAGAACGAGGGCUGCACAAAAUGCCUUGG